rnacentral:pre_miRNA from 1 species
UCUUCAUUAUACGUGUUCUCUCACCAGUCAGAGCGAUGAGAGAGAGCAUGCGAAAUGAAGAGA